GUAGAUAUAGUUUAACUAAAAUAAUGGUUUGUGGCACCAUAGAUUCCCCAAUAAUGUGAUAUCUACC
rnacentral:tRNA from 1 species